rnacentral:rRNA from 1 species
GACGAACGCUGGCGGCGUGCUUAACACAUGCAAGUCGAACGAAGAGCGAUGGAAGCUUGCUUCUAUCCAUCUUAGUGGCGAACGGGUGAGUAACGCGUAAUCCACCUGUCCUUCAGAGGGGGACAACAGUUGGAAACGACUGCUAAUACCGCAUACGUUCUAACCUCGGCAUCGAGGAUGGAUGAACGGUGGCCUCUAUUUAUAAGCUAUCACUGAAGGAGGGUAUUGCGUCUGAUUAGCUAGUUGGAGGGGUAACGGCCCACCAAGGCGAUGAUCAGUAGCCGGUCUGAGAGGAUGGACGGCCACAUUGGGACUGAGACACGGCCCAGACUCCUACGGGAGGGAGCAGUGGGGGAUCUUCCGCAAUGGACGAAAGUCUGACGGAGCAACGCCGCGUGAGGGAUGACGGCCUUCGGGUUGUAAAGCUCUGUUAAUCGGGACGAAAGGCCUUCUUGCGAAUAGUUAGAAGGAUUGACGGUACCGGAAUAGAAAGCCACGGCUAACUACGUG